GUCUCGUUGUGGGAUUAAUUCCAUACAUUCAUGGAUGAAGUAAAGCUUUGAAAAGUCGAAGUGCAAAUUUGCACCAGUGUGGUGAGUGUAUGACCUUAAAGGGAGUGUGGUGUCUUCUAAAUCAAAAUAAAAUAAAAUGAUAAUUUUAAAGUGAUGAUAAUAAUGAGAAAACAAAAUCAAACGUGAUAGUAAAAACGUGUUAGAAAAAAUCUGCGGAAUUAGAAAAUCUAAAAUUUAUUCAUUUUUUGAUAAAGUGUUGAAAAAGUCGUUUGACAAAAUAUGAUUGUCUGAAAAGAAGAAUUUUGAAAAAGAGCAACAUUUAAACAGGAUAUCGAAUUUGAUUUUGAUUCCAACGAUGAUAAUAUCCACGGUGUUACCUUGAAACCGGUCGGACUCCAAUCAACGAAUCGUAUGGAAGGUUUGCCUUUCAAUGCUGUUAUGGCGUUAUUUACUUCGGUGGGAUUUACAUCACCGCGAUAUAACAAGCAGCAACUCAUAUACGCGCCUUUGCGUGGAUCGCAUUUGACCAUCUAUAAAAUCAAAUUGAUAAAAUGAUAUUUUUGAGAAUAUCUGAGAACGAUAUAAUUGAGAAAUAAUAUGGAAACUGGAGAGUGUAGCGUUGUAGCGAAAAUCGACCAAAAAGUUCUGAGCUUCGGCAUCGUCAUGCUUUUUAACAUUAUUUUUUUUCUGAUUCAGCAAAACAGGCGGCGCAAAACCCAUGGAAACCCACGAGGGCCAUGGAAAAAAACCAGAGUCCAUGACUGAUCCAUAUCACAUUGUAACCAUCGUUUAGAAAAAUUGAACUAAAAAAAAAUAUCUUAAAAUGCCUCAUAAUCGAUUUUUUCUAUGAUAUUGUCCCUUCUACGGGCAAUUUAUUUUUUGUAAGUCGAAACCUACGACCCGAGAACGACCCGAAUCUUUUGUGUCUCAUAAAAUGUUUUUCGUAUGUCGUAGAUGGGUUUAAUUUGAAGAUGGAAGUUCUGUGGAAAAAACGCAACUUCGAAAAGAUGCGAAAUAUUUAUUUUCAAUAAUUCGGGUCUAGAUUGAAAAAUAAUCGAUUUUUUCUAUGAUUUUGUCCCUUCUACGGGCAAUUUAUUUUUUGUAAGUCGAAACCUACGACCCGAGAACGACCCGAAUCUUUUGUGUCUCAUAAAAUGUUUCUCGUAUGUCGUAGUUGGGUUUAAUUUGAAGAUGGAAGUUCUGUGGAAAAAACGCAACUUCGAAAAGAUGCGAAAUAUUUUUUUUCAAUAAUUCGGGUCUAGAUUGAAAAAAAAAUGUUUUUUUCUUCUAAGAUGAAAUUUUUGCUAUUGGUGUUUGAGAGCUCGAAAAUGAAUGUUAGAGUCAGUCAACGUUUCGAAUCAUAUUUCCGCACGAUUUUUAAACAAUGAAGAUAGUGAAUCAUCAUAAAACGGUGGAAUGAAAAAGUAUGUGUCUAUGAGAGAUCAGCUGACCUGAUUUGCGGGUUCGAAACAUUCGUUCGUAAUCUGAGCCACUGAGAGUUGCGAGCUCAUUGCAUUCUCAGCGGAGAUUACAGGCGCGUAAGUGACAAGAGGAAAAUGAAUUCUAGGGUAUGGGACGAGGUUCGUCUGAAAUUCUUCAAGACUGACAUUGACAGCUCCCUCGAAACGUAACGAGGCUGUGAUAUUCGAGAUUACUUGGGCUUGUAGUCGGUUCAAAUUGGUGUAUGUUGGGCUCUCCACUCCCAAAUUCCUUUCACCAUGAAACAAUGUGGUCUAAUGAAUUUUGUUGUUCGUCUAAUAUCUAGAAAAACUAUUAUUUUGCUCCAUUGCAGUCAGGUGAAAAUGAAAAGUUUAAUGGACCAAUCACACUUGAAAUAUUGAGCUUGACAGCAGAAAGAAACAUUCCAUAAAAAUGAACUUUGUAAAUAGAUCGAAAGAUUAUUUUCACGAGACGUUCAAAUGUGCUGUGGUACCUCGUGCAAGUAUCGUAGAGCGCCUCGUUGUCAACAAUAAAACAACAAUCCUCGAAAUCGAGGGUUCCGUGGGUAGUCAAAACGGAAUUUCCGCAGUCAAUCGUUCGAGCAUCAGAGUUGUGAAGCCACUUCCGGUACCACCGCCGAAGGAUCUUUUUUUUUUUUGGAAUGAAUUGGAGAUUUUGAAAGGCACGAAAAUCAGUCGGAAUCGUUUUAGCACAAUUUUGUGGUUGAGUAUCGUUGACACAGCGUCGAUGUAUUAAAAAUUUUUGUAAAUUAUACCUGAACACAAUAAAUCCGGAUAA